AUCCAGCUGACUUGUUCCAAAUAGGAUGAAAUGCGCAUCCAGGAU
rnacentral:hammerhead_ribozyme from 1 species